UUGUUAUCCACCUCUUAGGAUUUUUAUGGAGAUAAUUUGAUCAUAGAUUUAGAGCUGGAAGGAACUUUAUAGGGCAUCUAGUUGAGCACCCCUUCACUUCUUCCCUUCCUUCCCUCCCUUCAUACUCCCUGUUUUAUAGAUGGGGAUGCUGAAGCCCAGGGAACUAUUUGAUUUGCCCAAGAUCACAUAGAUGUCAGAGGUAACAAUUGAACAUAGUUCUCUACUUCAAAUACAGCUGUUUUUCUACUUUGUCACACUGCCUUCCCAAGUUACAGUAUGUGAAAAUGCUCUUGUAACCAUGAGGCAUUAAAGAAAUGUCAGCUGUUAUUGCUAAUUGGAGAACAGAUAACAAUUCAGUCUACAAUUAUGAUGGUAAAUAGGGAGUAUGGAUAAGUACUAUAGAAGAGCAGUGAGGAGAGCAAUCCCAUAAGCCAGAAUUUCCAAGGAAGACUUUUAGGAGGAGAUCACACCAGCUAGAACUCGACUGACAGUACCUUAUUUAAUCAUCUGAAUGCUAUGAGUGUUAUUCUUUUUCCCAGACCUGAAUAAAGCUUGUGGGAAUGCAAUGGAUGCUCAUGAAGCUGCCCAGAUGCAUCAGAACUUCUCCCAGCAACUUCUCCAGGAUCACAUUGAAGCUUGUAGCCUUCCAGAACACAACCUUAUCACGUGGACAGACGGGCCACCCCCUGUACAGUUUCAGGCGCAGAAUGGACCCACCACCAGCCUUGCUAGUCUCCUGUGAAGGAAAACUCUGCUAAAGUGACACAUGCAACUUGGCCCCCUGGGAAGAGGAAAAUCUAUCAUGGGGACUUUUUCCAGGAAGGGAAAAUGAGGAAUUUCCUGUACAGCCAAAAGCCUUAAUCAAGAUUAAACACACCCUACAUUUCAAAGACUCAAAAAGGACAUUUUAAGCUGCUUUUAAAGAUGAGAGGUGUGUGUCCCAUACACACAACUUCUGGAUUUUUAACUGUAUUUGAUACUUCUGGUUUUCCUCAGUACAGUGUGGUGCAGGAUCCAGAACCCUGUUAGGGGAUAGUGGAGGAGAAUCUGUCUUUCCUCAUUUACCAGACAUCCACUAUGUGAAAUUCUCCAACCCAAUCUUGGUGUUGAUUUUUCCAAACCAUCACUUAGAAAUGGAUUCUGACCAGACUGCCAAUCACUGCUCUAAAUAUUUAAGUCCUACCUGAAAUGAAGUGCUUCUGGUUGGAGUGGGGCGGGGAGUAGGAAGAGUCUCCUACAAGGCUCCAAGUAGCAUGUAGUGUGGGAUUUAAUCAUGACUGUGUGCCUGGGGAUGGGUGUGGAGAGCUGGCAAACCUCAAAAUCCUUCUCUUAAGGAAGUCCCAUGUCUCGAUGCUAUUCUGUAGUAAAUCACCGAGUGUACCCAGAUUAAAUCAGUUCUUCUCUAGUGAAGGUGAAAAGUAAGGUUGGUUACUUUUUAACCUUUCAUCGCCUGAGUGAGUAGCUAUGUGUUAUGAGGCUGGGGCAGUGUCCUCCUCCCCCAUAACUCCUUAAUGCAUCACUUGGACAACUUUAAAGAAUAAAGCUUGAACGUCUCAGUGUAGCUUAACCCCAACAUCCAAAUUUGAGGCAGAUACCUGGAGAGAAUAAAUCACUUUGGAAACAAUGCACAUUUGUACAGAAAAUGGCUUUUUCAACAUACCUUUUGAAUAUCCCAUUAUUCAACAGGCUUUCAGUCCUGUACUACACUGAACUUUUUGUUCAGGCUCACUUAGAAGUCCAAGAAUGCCAGCUUCCAAGUGUAAGGCACCUUGAUCUACUACACUGUUCUGUUGUGUAUAUUAUUAUACAUAAAUAUAUAUAUGUAUGUA